GCUGACCAUCACUGUAAACAAGCAAUGGAGGAAAUUGAUGAAUUUUCCGAAUCUCACAACCCAGUAGCUUCAACUAAUAAUUGCAUGGGUCCAAGGAGCUCUAAGAGGAGUUUCUCUUCAGCGGUUAUUCUCUCUGGGCCUUUUGAACAUUUUCCUGUUGGUUGGACUCAUCACCCUCAGUGUCUACUGUUCUCCUGUAAGGUGCACAAUCUUGAUGAAGCAUGUGAACACCACACAUAUGUCCUGGAGGGAAACACAGUGGGAGAACUGGGUUAAAAGUGUGUAAACUGUAAUGUUACCAAGCAGGCAAAGUGAGACAAGCUUUGUUAGAAGUGAGGGGGAAAAAACUACUAACCCCACAGUGAAAGUUGAGGCCCACUUCCUUCCUGAACAAAUGCGAUCAUUCAGAUUUCAAAUUUUUGCAUGGUUUCAUUUGAUACUCUCUUGCAGAUUAACACAACACGCAAACUAUUUCAGUCAGCCAACAUGCAGUUUGAUGUUGCAGUUUAAUCAUGGCAACUGGUUUUAAAGAUGAAGAGGUCAAAGAAAAACAGAUACAUGAAAAAAUGAACACUGAAGCAGUGCUCAAGCAGAAGAGCACAAAAAGAAACAGUACCUAUGAGACGCCUGAUGAGCCACAAUCUGACGCAAUGAAGAGGCUGAAAGUUUCGUGCUUUUAGUGCUGUGGCAGAUUAUAGCAUCCAAAUUUGGAAAUUUGGAGGACAAUUUUCAGUCUCUAGGGGAGAUUUGAAACAAUUUUGUGUUUCUCAGCUUUGAUUAGCUUGAUGCACAGACAAGGAGGGAUGAGUGUAAGACAAACUUACCUUUAGAGAACAGGCUGAUGAAUUUAAUGGCUAAAGCGAUUGAGAGCCUUUCAGAAGUCCCCAAAGAUGACCCAUUGGAGCUGCUCAUUUACCUCUCUCAAAUCAGAUCUGUGAGUUUAACCCAAACCAUUGAGAAGCCCUAUGGAUAGCCCGUACUCUCCCUGUGACUACUGCAUCUGCAGAACAGAGCUUUUCCAAACUGAAUUGAAUAAAGAUCUUUCAUGGCACAAGAAACACAGAGUGGUCUGGCAUUAAAUCAGUAUUAAUAACAUAAAAACUUGGUCAUCAGAUUUCUUACACUGAUGUAAUGAAUGGCUUGGCCUGUAGAAAAGCAAGGAAACACAGGUUUUAAGAAGAGAGUGGAGUAUUGAGGAAAAUGACAGAGUAACAUAAAAAGUCAAAUAUUUGAAUUAUAAUAGUUUUCUUUUCAUUUUGUUCUCCCCAAACUGU